UACAGAGGGGGCUAGCGUUGCUCGGAAUUACUGGGCGUAAAGCGUGCGCAGGCGGUUUUGUAAGCCAGAUGUGAAAUCCCCGGGCUUAACCUGGGAAUGGCAUUUGGGACUGCAAGGCUCGAGUGCGGCAGAGGAGACUGGAAUUCCUGGUGUAGCAGUGAAAUGCGUAGAUAUCAGGAGGAACACCGAUGGCGAAGGCAGGUCUCUGGGCUGACACUGACG
rnacentral:rRNA from 1 species